rnacentral:rRNA from 1 species
GCAGUCGACGAUGAACCACUUCGGUGGGGAUUAGUGGCGAACGGGUGAGUAACACGUGGGCAAUCUGCCCUUCACUCUGGGACAAGCCCUGGAAACGGGGUCUAAUACCGGAUAACACUGCCACGGGCAUCUGUGGUGGUUAAAAGCUCCGGCGGUGAAGGAUGAGCCCGCGGCCUAUCAGCUUGUUGGUGAGGUAAUGGCUCACCAAGGCGACGACGGGUAGCCGGCCUGAGAGGGCGACCGGCCACACUGGGACUGAGACACGGCCCAGACUCCUACGGGAGGCAGCAGUGGGGAAUAUUGCACAAUGGGCGAAAGCCUGAUGCAGCGACGCCGCGUGAGGGAUGACGGCCUUCGGGUUGUAAACCUCUUUCAGCAGGGAAGAAGCGAAAGUGACGGUACCUGCAGAAGAAGCGCCGGCUAACUACGUGCCAGCAGCCGCGGUAAUACGUAGGGCGCAAGCGUUGUCCGGAAUUAUUGGGCGUAAAGAGCUCGUAGGCGGCUUGUCACGUCGGGUGUG